CUUGUCAGCUCAGGAUUCAAUCUUGCAACCUUUCGGUUACUAGUCCGAUGCUCUAACCAGUAGGCUACCUGCCGACCCAGGUUAGCAUUUGCGUCCCUCGCAUUUGCAACAAUGAAAAACUGUUGUUACACAUCAUCCAUGUUUUUUUUGCUUAUAAUGAACUGUUUAUCAAUGAUGAAACAUAAUGCAAGUCAUUUAUAGCGCAAAAUCCAUAUUUUGUAGGCCAAGGCUGCAGUUCCGAAGGUAACCACCCUGUCCCGCCCCUGUCAGCUCCCCUGGAAACCUCUUCCCCUGAGCUGAAGAUCCAAAUCAUGUGUUUCUUCACCUUUACUUUACACACCAAUAUUUGUGGUCACCCUCCCCUUACAUUUCAUGAAGGGAGGGUGACCUGUGAAAUGUCAAUGCGGCAUCUGGAUGCCAACCAUUUGAUCUCAAUCAAUUUCAUGGGAAGACACAUUUGAAUUAUGUACAGUGUUGUUUCGAAGUUCAGUGUUUUAUUUGAAUUAUGUACAGGGAGCGAAUUUUAGAGCAGAUGGUGUUUUGCCUAGUGGCGCGCUGUUGAGCUUUGACCACAUGAGAGAUUUGCUACCAUUCUCACAAUCAUCCUACAUCUCAUAAGAAAUUAGGUGGUGUUUUUUGUCUUGCAGUGACAUUAUACCAUGCUAUUAUUUUCAGUUCUGUUAUAUAGAAUACUAUCAUUAUGUGAUCUUGCUGACACAAAUUCAGUCUUGAUUUAACUUAAAGAAGCAUCAUUCUCCAUUUCUAACAGAAAUUUGCCAAAGUAGCCUUUUCUUCGGGCUACUAAACUAGUAAAGCAGAGACUGUGCGUAAAGGAGAGAAUCCCACACAUGAGCAGAAGCUUUGGAUUUAGUUGUCGGGAAAUGGUUCUAGAGAAUUCGGAUAUGCAGCCACUCUGUAUUUUGAAACUUCUCUUAAUGGUCUCAAGGGUAUAAUCCUUGAUUCUGUUUCAUUUCCCCCCCCCAGCUAAACGGCAGCUCUGCUUUUUGGUUUGCUAAAAAGCUGCUGAAGGACGUGACUGAAGAAAUGUAAUAACCCCCAUCACGUACGCUUUGGAAGCAAAGUACAGGCCCUAUCUUGAGGGUAACUAAGGAAUAAACUAUGUGGAUGGAAGCCAUCGCAGCCUUGAAAUGUUUUCAAACAUCUGGUCGGACAACAAGGCCAGCAUCGUGUUCACUAGGCACCGGAUGGAACACAAUGGACUGAAACAGGGAGGGAUUUCCUGGCCUUGCCCCAGGAAAUUCCAGACUGACCUGGAAUUUGAAUUGAAUUAAAUGGAAUGUACAGGGAGCGAGAACUGAAUGAAAAUGCAAUUUGUGGAAUUGACACCAACCCUUGUACAGUGUGAUACUUUAUCCUCAACUGCAAUUAAAACAAAAUGUAAUUGA